GGGGGUAUAGCUCAGUUGGU
rnacentral:tRNA from 1 species